rnacentral:rRNA from 1 species
GACGAACGCUGGCGGCGUGCUUAACACAUGCAAGUCGAGCGAGGCCCCUCCUUCGGGGGGGUGUCCUAGCGGCGAACGGGUGAGUAACACGUGGGCAACCUGCCCCCAUCUCUGGGAUAACUCCGGGAAACCGGGGCUACUACCGGAUACGACCUCCACGGUCAUCUGCGGUGGUGGAGAGUUUUUCGGCUGGGGAUGGGCCCGCGGCCUAUCAGCUAGUUGGUGGGGUAGUGGCCCACCAAGGCGACGACGGGUAGCCGGCCUGAGAGGGCGACCGGCCACACUGGGACUGAGACACGGCCCAGACUCCUACGGGAGGCAGCAGUGGGGAAUAUUGCGCAAUGGGCGGAAGCCUGACGCAGCGACGCCGCGUGAGGGACGACGGCCUUCGGGUUGUAAACCUCUUUCAGCAGGGACGAAGCGAAAGUGACGGUACCUGCAGAAGAAGCACCGGCCAACUACGUG